CCACUGCAGAAUUUUAUGAACUUGUCUGUUGUCGAUGAUAAGAUUUAGAUCGAGUGGGACCUCACAUGACCGCCAUUCGCAUUUAUGAGCUCGAGUAGCUGGCCGAACUCGGCUACAUUUCCUCGUACUAUGCACCUUCCACAACUCAACUUUGAUGUAUACAUAUACAUGUCAUCCACAAGCGGCGGGCGACAGUUUUCCAUGGCUUCGGGCGGCCCAUAUGCGCCCCAUCCGACCUAAAUCACCAAUCGAUCGAGUCCCUACCCGUAACGCAGCCAAGCGAGAAGGUGGUGGAGAAGGGAGGCAUUGCCGCCGCCAAGAGGGCCGCCUCCUCGGCCAGGAGGGUGUCCUGCUCUGCUGCCGCUGCCUUCGUAGGAGUCGUUUUCUCCCUCGAGGGGUUUGGUAUGAUCGCUUGCACUUUACCCUAGAGGAUUCUAUGAAGCUCUUGACGUUAUUUAAGAUGCUGAGAACAUGCGUGACUAGAGAGACCUGUGGAGCUAAGAUAUGCAUAGAUCCUCAUCUGGUCCAGUUCCUCGUGGCAAAGACAAGUAGAAGACAAAGGAGUCCCCACAAACAUGCGGCACCACUCACCAAGGCGAACUGAUAGGAUCAGCCUGCGUGAGAUGAAGAGGGAGGAUGAUGCACUGCUGUUUAUGGAGUAGGGACGAAGCGAAAAAAUGAGCAUUUUUAUGCCAAGACGAACAACCUCCAUGGUGGGGUUUCGGCGUUUGAGGCACCUUGGUGCCACAUUCUGCUGUCCUUGACCUGGUCCUGAGCCCCCUAAGAGAUGGCGACCCUCGAACCCUUACCCUCCAUAGAAAGCCAUGGACCAACCUCGCCCUCCUAAUCUCCUCUGUAAAUUAUUCCUAUCAGGUGCCCUCCAUUGUGGUAUUGGGCAUCUCACUCGGACAGCUGCUGUGGUGGUAACAAAUACUUUUUGGACACCCUUGUGUGUAAAGAGAUAGAUGCCUCUGAGGUUUCGCUUUGUAUUAUUGAGGAAAAGAUAGGUCCACCGGGGAA